UACGUAGGGUGCGAGCGUUUAAUCGGAAUUACUGGGCGUAAAGGGUGCGCAGGCGGUUAUAUAAGACAGAUGUGAAAUCCCCGGGCUCAACCUGGGACUGCGUUUGUGACUGUAUGACUAGAGUACGGUAGAGAGGGGUGGAAUUCCUGGUGUAGCAGUGAAAUGCGUAGAUAUCAGGAGGAACAUCGAUGGCGAAGGCAGCCCCUUGGACCUGUACUGACGCUCAUGCACGAAAGCGUGGGGAGCAAACAGG
rnacentral:rRNA from 1 species